UAAUAUAUUCAGCAUCUGUUGUGAUCGAAUUGAAUGAAAACAUAAACAUAAAAAUGCUUUUGUGUGAUCAGAAAGCUAAUUAACUUUUUUUUUGAGCGACUUUUAGCUGACUGUGUCAUUAAGGGUCUCCCUGGGAUCAAGGGAGUUAAAGGUUUACCGGGACCUAUGGGGAAUAAUGGAUAUAUUGGAGAAACAGGAGAGAGAGGGGAGAUCUGUUAUGAGUGUCAAACAUCGGGACUGUCAGGACCAGCAGGUCUCCGAGGUCCACCUGGCCUUCCUGGUACUAAUCAAGGACGGGGUGAAAAGGGRGAUCCCGGCUUUCCAGGUCCUUCAGGUUUACCUGGGCCUCCAGUAAGAAAGUGCAUCAUAAUCACAUUGCAGAUUUGUUUGUUAUAUGUUAUGCUUUUWCUUGUCUAGCCUUUGCAUCUACUGUCUACUACUCAUUUGCACGCAUAGGUUGGAGCAUGCUGUUUUCAAUAACUGCACAGUAUAUUGUGAUGUAAAUGAACCCUUACAGUAGAGAAGGUUAUUCUUAGUUCUGCUAUUACAUAUCUAUUUUCUGUGACUCUACAUGCUUCGAUUAUAUGUCACUUUGUUGCUGGUACACUUGACAUUUCUCACCGAGGACUUUUUUGGGCAAAAUUCUACCACAAAGMUGUGUCAAAUUGUCCAAAAUGUCUUGCAUCAAAAACAUAUGUAAAUAAAUAAAAACAUAACUAAAAGAAAUGUGAAUAUUUUUUUUACUAUUGUACUGUAUAUGCAAGACUUUCUUAUACUUUUUAAUCUAAAAUGAUCCACUGGGAUGGUUACCUUGAAAAUAGGG